AGUGUGUUGGAUGCUGUAGUUGGGCUGAGAUGGUCUGCUACCCCAGUCCUGCUUUAGGAUUUAUCUGUAGCAUGGAUUUUUGAGGAUGCUGUCUCAAAACAGUGCUUCCACUGAUGGACUUUAAAGGUAGUAUGAUGAUGGCCAAUAAGAUGAAGUGCACUAUGGAAUCAAAAGUGUUUAAAGAUGCUAGGUAUGGGUACAAUAAAAAGACUAGGAUGAAGUUUUUUAAGGAUAUGUUUUGUGUUGUAUCUGCUCCAGCAAUGACAUCUGGUGACCUCGAUGUGUGUGUAACAAACCCAUUGGGCAAUGGACAGGGGGAACAGAGCUCUGCAGGACUAGAGAGCAGCAAGGGAAGCCACAGAAAGGGUCUGGACCCCAAUUUGGCACCCAGAGCUGAUGCUCCAGGAAUAUGGGAAGUACUGGGCUAGGACAAAUAACACUACAAACUGGAACAUUGCUUUUCAAGUCUCACCCAGGUUAGCCUAGGUGGCUUAUGUUAGCCUCGCUUUGAGGAGAGAAACCUUGAGGAGGCCAAAAGUUGGUCUGCAGCUGCACAGUUGUGGUAAUUGUUACCAUUCAUCACUUGCAAGUGCAUUUUACAGUGUUUACUUCACACAGAUAAACUAGCAGAGCCCUAAGCCUCUGGCAUAGAUACAGUUAUGCCAGCAGACAUUAUUGAGAGGCAGCUUUUGAACAUUUUGGUUUCAUUUGUUACUAUAAAAUGUUGCUAAUUAUACAGAAAGAUGUUCACUUUCAAAUGAAUUUAAUAAAAGCUGUAGUGCUUGUA